rnacentral:rRNA from 1 species
UACGGGGGGGGCAAGCGUUGUUCGGAAUUACUGGGCGUAAAGGGUGCGUAGGCGGCUUUCUAAGUUGGAUGUGAAAACUAUGGGCUCAACCCAUAGCCUGCAUCCAAAACUGGAGAGCUUGGGUUCUGGAGGGGAAAGCGGAAUUCCUGGUGUAGCGGUGAAAUGACGUAGAUAUCAGGAGGAACACCGGUGGCGAAGGCGGCUUUCUGGACAGACACCGACGCUGAGGCACGAAAGCUAGGGGAGCAAACAGG